rnacentral:tRNA from 1 species
GGGCCUAUAGCCUAGUCUGGAUAAGGCGGCAGCCUUCUAAGCUGCAAAUCGGGGGUUCAAAUCCCCUUGGGCCCA